ACCAAAUAAAAUACCCUAAAAGCACCACAUCCCAUGUGAUCUUGGAAGUUAAGCAGUGUUGGUUCUGAUUAGGACUUGGCUGGGAGACUGCAAAUGAAUACCAGAUCCAAUAGGCU
rnacentral:rRNA from 1 species